AGAAAGAAAAUGGAAAGGCUGUGCGGU
rnacentral:piRNA from 1 species